rnacentral:rRNA from 1 species
AACGAACGCUGGCGGCAGGCUUAACACAUGCAAGUCGAGCGCCCCGCAAGGGGAGCGGCAGACGGGUGAGUAACGCGUGGGAAUCUACCUAGCUCUACGGAAUAACCCAGGGAAACUUGGACUAAUACCGUAUACGUCCUUCGGGAGAAAGAUUUAUCGGAGUUAGAUGAGCCCGAGUUGGAUUAGCUAGUUGGUGGGGUAAUGGCCUACCAAGGCGACGAUCCAUAGCUGGUCUGAGAGGAUGAUCAGCCGCACUGGGACUGAGACACGGCCCAGACGCCUACGGGAGGCAGCAGUGGGGAAUAUUGGACAAUGGGCGCAAGCCUGAUCCAGCCAUGCCGCGUGAGUGAUGACGGCCCUAGGGUUGUAAAGCUCUUUCACCGGUGAAGAUAAUGACGGUAACCGGAGAAGAAGCCCCGGCUAACUUCGUGCCAGCAGCCGCCGUAAUAC